GAUGAACGCUGGCGGCGUGCCUAAUACAUGCAAGUCGAGCGAACAGAUAAGGAGCUUGCUCCUUUGACGUUAGCGGCGGACGGGUGAGUAACACGUGGGUAACCUACCUAUAAGACUGGGAUAACUUCGGGAAACCGGAGCUAAUACCGGAUAAUAUUUCGAACCGCAUGGUUCGAUAGUGAAAUAUGGUUUUGCUAUCACUUAUAGAUGGACCCGCGCCGUAUUAGCUAGUUGGUAAGGUAACGGCUUACCAAGGCGACGAUACGUAGCCGACCUGAGAGGGUGAUCGGCCACACUGGAACUGAGACACGGUCCAGACUCCUACGGGAGGCAGCAGUAGGGAAUCUUCCGCAAUGGGCGGAAGCCUGACGGAGCGACGCCGCGUGAGUGAUGAAGGUCUUCGGAUCGUAAAACUCUGUUAUUAGGGAAGAACAUACGUGUAAGUAACUGUGCACGUCGUGACGGUACCUAAUCAGAAAGCAACGGCUAACUACGUG
rnacentral:rRNA from 1 species